rnacentral:lncRNA from 1 species
CAAUUCUGGAAAGGUUAGUGACAAGAAUACCCGAAGGAAUAUUUUUACAAUUAUCGCUAUAUGCUCAAUACACAAGGUAAUGUUGCAAAUAAUUAAAAGCUCAUGUUACGAUCUGAUCAGUGCUUAUUUUAGGACACUAAGCUUGUCCUUGGGAAACCAUCAAUUUAUGUCGGCGAAGUGGUUUCCCUUCCAACGCUGACCUAUAUCAAGAUCAACUCAACGAGAUCUGCAAUAUUUAUUAUAGACAUAUGCAUCGACAACCGCUCUUUUAAAGUUUUUAUAAAUAGAAAGGAAGAGGGGGUUGGAGAUCUAAAUGUGGUGAUGUUGGAGAGACCAAUAGAUUGGGAAGAUGUUGCAUAUGAGCAUGGAGCAAACGAAGUGGCUAUGAAAUAAAUACCAUGCUCAUUAAUGUUAUCUUCGUCUCCAAUCUGAAUGUUCGGAGUUUCUCCUGG